rnacentral:tRNA from 1 species
GGGGACAGCUCAGUGGUAGAGCACGUGUUUAGCAUGCACGAGGUCCUGGGUUCAAUCCCCAGUAUCUCCA